GGCUGGGCCGGCGGCGGCGGCGGUACGAGGCGCGCGCUCGGGGUCCCGGUCGCGAGGAGGAGGAGGAUGUGGCGCGCGGAGGGGAAAUGGCUGCCGAAAACAAGCCGGAAGAGCGUUUCCCAAAGUGUAUUCUGCGGAACUAGCACCUACUGUGUUCUCAACACCGUGCCACCUAUAGAAGAUGAUCAUGGGAACAGCAAUAGUAGUCAUGUAAAAAUCUUUUUACCGAAAAAGCUGCUUGAAUGUCUGCCGAAAUGUUCAAGUUUACCCAAAGAGAGGCACCGCUGGAACACUAAUGAGAGAUCAUGAUGCAGCCGCCCUUUUGGAUUUCUUUUUAAUAAUGUGUGACCCUUCACCUUUGAUCCCCUGACCUGCAUUACCUUGGGUUGUUGGGAGGAUAAAUGAAACACACUGAGAACUCAGAAGAAAGGUGCUUUUGAAACUGAACCUCAUCCUAUGGCUGUGCCAAGAGGCAGUGGUAGUGAACCCCGUGGUGAAGGGCCAGGACCAUGGCUGUGGAGCCAGGCUGCUGAGGUUCGAAUCCCACCUUGGCCUCUUGCAAGUGUACUGACUGCAGCACAUUACCUAGCUGCCCUAUUCUCGAGUUUGCUUCCUCUUUAAAUGGGGUGUCAGUAAUAGCACCCACUCACAGGAUCAUGGUCUUAAAAUUUUGGUAGCAGAAAGCAAAGGUGCAGAGAGCAAUGGAAACAAGUCAGAAGCUGCUGUCUGAUUCCAGAGAUGUCCACACUUUAUGACAUGUGAUUUAUGUUGAAAUCUUCAAUUUAUCCUGAUAUCUCAAAUUGCUAAUUUAGUGCAAUAACACCUGGGGAAAUAGGUCAUGAGGACUGCAGACCUGCAGAAGGCCACAGAUCCUCUUCACAAUGUAACCUAUUGCUGUCAAACUCUAGACCUAUGAAGUGCUGAGCAUAGCCUGGUGCUGUGGGCCUUUUACUCCCCCUCAAACCCUGAACUACAGUCCUGUUUGCAUUGUGCUAAUCUGAGGACUAGGAAGUAGUCAGGCAACUUCCACUCCAUAUGCAUCCACUCCCCUGCAUGACUUGUAAGCCUACUGGUCCUGCUGCCUGCCUGCCCCUCCUCCUGCCCACUGCAGCACCUGAGUGAGGGAGGUAGAGACUUCUGAGGCUUCCCUUCUGCAACUUUGUUCUUUGUGGUAGUUUCAGGGCCUCAAUGGAAGUCACUAGCAGCUUGUUAAGAUCUUACAUUGAUUAGGAAGUGUCCUUCACUUACAGCCCUCAGCAUCCCUUUGAAGUACUCUUAUUUUUCCAACCUGGGAAGCUGGCCUGUGGUGACCAGUUGGAAGUGCUGGAGUUGAGUCAGCCUUCUCAGUGCUUUGUGCCACAGACAGACUCCAGCAAGGCAGCCUCUCCAAGUAUUGUCUGUUCUAUCAAUAUGUACUUAGACACAUUAAUCCAAAUUAGAGAACUGAUUGUACCUAAUGGCUCCCCUGGGAUGCCAUGUCAGAAAAAAAAAAACAAAAACUGAAGGAGUAUGUUGAAUAUGCGGAGUAAGUAAAAAAAUUAUUGUAAAAUUAGUGUUAAUUGAGCUUGGACCUUGAUCAUCUUUGCACUUUUAAUUUUUAAUUUGAUUCUUUAAAGCAGUUCUGCCUUUCAAAGAUAGAGCCUAAUAAAAGUUAUACUGUAACAUUGCCAAAAAGACAUUUUAUACAAGACCCAAUUUUGAAUUAUCUUAGAGAAAUAGGUUUUAUAUAGGGUAGACACAUGUACAAAUACACACUCAUAAGUGUGUUUAAAAUACAUUGUAGUUGUCCUUUAUCCACAUGUUUUCUCUCUCUGCCUCUGGAAGUGGGGCACAUUUUCUUCAGUUAAAAACAGAAAUAGAAGCAACGGUCUUGACCCAUUUUACACCUGUUUAUUUCAGGCUCUCACCACACACUUGUUCAUGGGCGCAGCAAGAAGAGGGACCCACAGAGCUGGAGCCGUGAGGGCUGACACAUUGGGAGGAAGCUGGCAGAGCGCAUAGGGAGAGCUUUCCAUCCUGCCAGCUCCGUAUCUGCUUCAAGACAGUUCUAUUAGUGAAUUAAUUGUAUUUUAAACCCCAAGUUUAUAUGAGUUGAAUGUUACUAGAAAUGCAGUAGAUUCAUCCGGAGUGACUGAAAGAGUACAGCUGCUGCUUACCUCUGGGGAGUAACCUGCAUUGUGUGCUCCCUGGUUCUAGUGUCCUUUUGCCCCCAGCAAACUUCCCAUUCACCCAGCAAUGACCUGUUUGUGUUGAUUACUGCCUCCCAAAAGAAUGGAAGCUCCAUGAGAGCAGGGCCUCUGUGUUGUCUCCUCUGUCUCCAGCACGUAGGGCAGCCUGGCCUGGCAUAUCAAUAAAUGCUGUUCAGUGAA